GACGAACGCUGGGCGGCGUGCUUAACACAUGCAAGUCGAGCGGUAAGGCCCUUUCGGGGGUACACGAGCGGCGAACGGGUGAGUAACACGUGGGUGACCUGCCCUCAGCUCUGGGAUAAGCCUGGGAAACCGGGUCUAAUACCGGAUAUGACUCCAUGACGCAUGUUGUGGGGUGGAAANCCUUGUGCGGCUGAGGAUGGGCCCGCGGCCUAUCAGCUUGUUGGU
rnacentral:rRNA from 1 species